UACGCUGACAGACACAGCAAACCUUCUUGCCACAGCUCGCAUUUAUGUGCCAUCCUGGAUGAGCUGCACUACCUGAGCCACUUGUGUGGGUUGUAGACUCCGUCUCAUGUUACCACUAGAGUGAAAGCACCGCCAGCAUUCAAAAGUGACCAAAACAUCAGCCAGGAAGCAUAGGAACUGAGAAGUGGUCUGUGGUCACCACCUACAGAACCACUCCUUUAUUGGGGGUGUCUUGCUUAUUGCCUAUAAUUUCCACCUCUUGUCUAUUCCAUUUGCACAACAGCAUGUGAAAUUUAUUGUCAAUCAGUGUUGCUUCCUAAGUGGACAGUUUGAUUUCACAGAAGUGUGAUUGACUUGGAGAUACAUUGUGUUGUUUAAGUGUUCCCUUUAUUUUUUUGAGCAGUGUGAAACUGUGCGGGGGGGCACAGUGCAACCUUUGGUGGAUGCCAGGUGCAGAUCCAGACACAGAUACGAAACCUGCUCAGAAAUCUUGCUCUCACAAAUGUGUCAUUUCAAAGGACACCUUAAUUGUUAGUCAGAUUUACUUUAUAGCCUUCAUUGGAGAGGUUAUCAACCUGACUGCGUUUGUGGACAGAAUAACCGUCAAGUUGAAGAUCAUUGUGGAAGCAGCAACAGUUUUUUAGGAGUAACAGAUGUUACUGUCGCCAUGAUUGUUGAUAUGUUGACUCCUAAUAAUACUAAUGAUGGAAUGUCUCAGUAAGAUAAGUAGAGUUAUGUUUUUUCUUAUCCUUCAGUGGAAUGCCAGAAGCCUUAUUGCUAACAGUCAGGAGUUUAAGAAACAUGUCAUAGAUUUAGAGAUCAAACCUGAAUUGAGAUGUGUUUUAGAAACAUGGCUUAGACUACAUCUUGAUUUUAUUAUUUCUGGUAAUUGUUCAGUCAGAUGUGAUAUAUCAAUUCGGACAAGGUGGUGGUUGUGCUAUGUUCAUAAGAGAAGGUGUUGUAUAUUGUAAUGACCUGACUAGAUCAUAAAGGAACAAUUGUCCAGACAGACGCUUGAGUUUACGAAUUGACGGUUUAUUAAACCAACUUUACACAGGCUACUGUUUGGCCGUAGCCCACGCCAAAUAAAUGAAACCCACAAGCCUAUCGUGACCUUCUCUUGUGAAGCCUAGACGUAAAAGAGAGAACAAAGGCUAAACCUGGUCUUAACUUCCAAUGCUCCAUCCCCCUGCCCAACCCCCUCCACGCCACUCCACCAACCGCCAGGAUGCCCGGCAUCAGAACAUUCCAGGCAUUCCCGUGAUUGGCAAAAAGCAGGUUGAUUGGCAUGUCGGACCCUGCGAACACUGGUUACUGGAACCAUUGAAGUUAGAAAAAUGGGCUGAAAGAAGAAUACUAAUGUUUUGAUAUUUGAAAAAAUGUUUGUCACCCGGAUGGUCGACCAUAUUUAUGACUAGGGGGAUUGGAAUGACCAAGACUUAAUCAAGGCCUGAACUGUCAUUCCCUCCCAAUGAAAUAAGAAGACAGCUAUGUACCCAAUUCUACUGGACAUUGAAGUGGAGACAACUGCUUUGUCAUCAAGAUGGCGACUGGGAUUUGGGAGCUAAUUGGAUUUUUGAAAAGCUGACUGCUUGGAUUUUUCUGGAUUUUAUUUGACUGUGUCAAUUGGAAUUACUUAAACUUUCACAUGGACUCUUGUGCUGGGGAUUCUUUGGACUCAGUUGUUUGAAUAGGCUAUUGUAAUAGUUGCUUUGACUGCAUUCAAUUAGAGUACUUUUCUACUUCUGUGAUUUCCUAAUGCGCUGUUAUUUAUAUUAAAUAAAACAAUGUUUUUUCACUAUUCUGACUCUUUCAUUGGUCACUAUGCUACCCAAAAUUGUUACCAGACUAUAUUGUCUAUUUUCUAAAUGUGAAAAUUCUAAAUACAAACUUCGAAUCAAUUUCACAAAAAUGUAAUGACCUGUCUGGUAUUUUCUGGGGCUUCUUAAUGCAUCCAGUCAGUGGAAGGGAUACAAUUUUAAAUUACAUAAAUAGUGCUAGCUAGUAAUUACUACCUUUACAUAGGAUCGAGGGAUGUAGUAGAAGGUAAACGCAAGUAACACAGUUUACGCAACUUUUUAUUUGGGGAAUCUUCACACACCUAUUACGCUAAAGUUUUUUGCUGAAGUGUUUACGUUUACUUGUCUCCAUCUCGAGCAUUGCUUAGCAACUUACCUUUGUGUAACACUACAUCCCUGGUGGGAUAAUUUCCUUUCAAGUUAAUUACAUCAUACACUUUGGGUACCAUUUAUACACUCUAGGUAGGACUUCUGUCCACAAAAUCUGAUUUGCGUGAUUAGAUUUUUAAAAAAUACUGAAGUCAAGUUAAACCAUAUGGCUUAUUGUGAUUGAUGCAGUCCAUGGUGAAGUGGCUGGCUAAUCCAGACUAUUAAUUAAACCAAUAAAAGUUAUACACUGCAGCUCUACAUAAUACAAAGAGUUAAAACAGAGCUUUUGGCAAGAACUGAAAUGGUGUCCAAGGUUCUUUGCGUCUAAAAUGGCUCCUGAAGUCUUAUUUCCUGUCUGAACAGGAAGUGAUGGGUCUCAGUGUUUUAAAUAUUAUUGUUCAACUUUAAACCCAUUUUUGUUUCGAUAUGUAUCUACAUUUGUCAAAUGAUAUCCUCUUGAC
ensembl:lncRNA